AUUGAACGCUGGCGGCAGGCCUAACACAUGCAAGUCGAGCGGAAACGAAGGGAGCUUGCUCCCAGGCGUCGAGCGGCGGACGGGUGAGUAAUGCAUGGGAAUCUACCCGAUAGUGGGGGAUAACCUGGAAACCCAGGCUAAUACCGCAUACGUCCUACGGGAGAAAGCAGGGGAUCUUCGGACCUUGCGCUAUCGGAUGAGCCCAUGUCGGAUUAGCUGGUUGGUGGGGUAAAGGCCCACCAAGGCGACGAUCCGUAGCUGGUCUGAGAGGAUGAUCAGCACAUCGGGACUGAGACACGGCCCGAACUCCUACGGGAGGCAGCAGUGGGGAAUAUUGGACAAUGGGCGCAAGCCUGAUCCAGCCAUGCCGCGUGUGUGAAGAAGGCCUUCGGGUUGUAAAGCACUUUCAGUGAGGAAGAACGC
rnacentral:rRNA from 1 species